rnacentral:rRNA from 1 species
CCUACGGGAGGCUGCAGUGAGGAAUAUUGGUCAAUGGGCGCGAGCCUGAACCAGCCAAGUAGCGUGAAGGAUGACUGCCCUACGGGUUGGAAACUUCUUUUAUAAAGGAAUAAAGUGAGGCACGUGUGCCUUUUUGUAUGUACUUUAUGAAUAAGGAGCGGCUAACUCCGUGCCAGCAGCCGCGGUAAUACGGAGGAUCCGAGCUUUAUCCGGAUUUAUUGGGUUUAAAGGGAGCGUAGAGGGGUUGUUAAGUCAGUUGUGAAAGUUUGCGGCUCAACCGUAAAAUUGCAUUUGAUACUGGCAGCCUUGAGUACAGUUGCGGUAGGCUGACUUC